UUGAUAGAAUUCAAGGUACAAGGUCUCGAUAUAUUUAACUAGUUCAAAAUAUAUACACUCCAAGUACAAAAUGUUCCAUUCGAGGAAUAGCGCGAGUACAAAACCAAAAUUCAAAAAACAAAGUCUAAAGUAACUAGACUACGCUAGCCUUUACAUGUCUCACGCUUCACUCGUACCCCUGUAAGGAAAACAAAACUAAAAGGGUGAGCCGAAGCCUAGUGAAGUUCCCAAAUAUCAAAUUGGUCAGCAACCAAGUUAUAGCAAAAUAAAAGUGAAAUAGAGAGCAAACAAGUCAAAUCAGGAAAAUAGUACUUCAGCUAGUCAAGUAGUAUUAGAUGCACAUUCACAUAUAAGGAUACGGUAUUCAUGUUUCGGCUCCAUUCCAGCUUGGUCAAGUGGUAGUUGACACUCCGUCAACUUUCAAGUAAUAUCAAGUCCAAAUAAACUCCACUACACGCCAAUUUCCGUCCACCGAUCAACCCCCUAUUCCGGGCCCGCACGCCAUACAAAACAUGGGUGGUAAUACUCGAGUAUACCGGAUUGCCGAGGAGAUAACACUCCACUCGACUUAACUAGUAACCCAGGGUUCAUUAUCUAAUCGACCAGGCCCUUGCCGGCUCGACUUGAUUAACUAGCCACAGGGUUUCUGGAAUUCCAGGCAAGAUAUAAUUCAAGUACAUGUACAACAAGUCAAGUAUGAUCAAUAGCAAGAACAGGUCAUAUUAGGGCAAGUGCGAUAAAGUACACCCUUGCCCUUUCAUUCAUUGUCAUGUAAUCACGCAAGUCAAGUAAGAAGCACACAUAUCAAGUACAAUUGGAUAUUUGGAAGCACUCACCAAAAUAGUGCUUCUAGUGCUCGUGUCUGGGUGGUACUCCGAGUUGGGAGUCCAAAUCUGCGAUAAAACUUAACUUGAGAACUUUGAAAAUCAACCAAGGUUCGAAACUUAAGCGUUUCGUUCAAUAUGAAUCAAGAAAUUGAAAUUCACUUGAGAAGAGUUGUGAAAUAGUUGCUCGCUCUUCAAACUGAAAAAUUUGAUAACAUUUUUGCUUGAAGAUGACUCUUGAGUCAAAAGUGCAAGUAAAACGGUUUCGUAGUGAUUCAAAUCGUUUUCCUAAGGGUACAAGUUCGGCCAAGUCCUAACGUAUAACCCUCGAUAAACAAGUGGCAAAAGUCCUCGAUAGUUCAAGUGAUAAUUACUUAACCUUCACUCAAGUCGCAAAGAUAGUUUUCUAGACUUCGAGUAAAAAUUCGGGCAGCAUGCCCUUUGUGUUUACCUAAUUUCCAGCCAUUUAGGCUUCAUUAUUUUCCUUCAGCAACAACCCAACAUCACACAAUAAAACAAUUCAAGCCAAGAGCCGUUCCCUAGGCUCACAAUAUCAUAACAACAAGAAUCGCAUCAAGUACAAAUGCAGAAAUUCAAUGUGGCACAAGACAGAUUUGACGUACAAAUGCGGAAAUAACAUAUCCAAGACUACGCUUAUCGGAUUAAGACGAAACCUGUGCCAUUUCGAAGUUAAGACACAGAGCUACAACAUUCAUGAAGAUCACGUAGUCCAGUUUCUAAUGUAACUUAGUCAAAUUCUCGAAUUACUAAACCAGAAACCAAUUCGUCGGUUGUUUAAACGCAGAACACUGUAAUGGACAUAACUCAGUGUACACAAGUCCGAAUCAGGUUUUCUUUGAGGCAUUUUAAAGCUACUUCAGAACACUACAACUUUUAUGUUUUGGCCCAGAGCUAAAUCAGAAUGGAUCCUGGUCAAAAAUCGUGAUAAACUGGACUGAACUGAAGAAACGGACUGCUGGGAAAUUCUUAGAACAGUAGGGGUAUUUUGGACUUUUCACGUUCUGCGUUGCUCCGAUUGAGCUGAAAUUUUGUAGGCACCUAUAAAACACCAUUCUCUACAACUUUCCUUCUUUGACCAAAGGCCAAUUCGGCCUCUAACAUACAGAUGCAAUUUCGGACAGAAUGCUUGGGAAAUUUUCCAGAAAUCUGGAAUUUUCAGCUCUAAGUGUAAUUUCCUCAAAUUUCUGGUUCUAAUCACCACUAAACAACCUUAUAUAACCUUAAUUGCAACAUUUACACAUCAUACCUCACAUUGAGCAGAAAAUCAGAAACCCUAGUUCAUCAAAUAAAUUGGGGAAAAACUUCUACACAUGCUAGCAUCCAUGAAUCCACCACCAAUCAAGCUACUAAGCUUACUUUAACCAUGAUUGAAAGAGAAAGUUAGAGAGAUAUCAUCCUCUUACCUUGAUUUGAGUUCUCCAAGUAUAGCUCCAAGCUUUCUCUUCCCAAAUUUUCACCACCAAUCACUAGAUAAUCACUCAAGAGUAGGUUUAAUCGGUUUACUUUGUUUGAUUUCGCACUUUGUUGGUGGAUUGAAGAAGAAAUGGAGAAGAGUUUUGUUUUUCCUCUCUUGUUCUUACUCUCUCCCUCUCUCGGCUCUUAGCAGCAGAAAAUG
rnacentral:lncRNA from 1 species